rnacentral:rRNA from 1 species
GACGAACGCUGGCGGCGUGCUUAACACAUGCAAGUCGGACGGAAAGGCCCUGCUUUUGUGGGGUGCUCGAGUGGCGAACGGGUGAGUAACACGUGAGUAACCUGCCCUUGACUUUGGGAUAACUUCAGGAAACUGGGGCUAAUACCGGAUAGGAGCUCCUGCUGCAUGGUGGGGGUUGGAAAGUUUCGGCGGUUGGGGAUGGACUCGCGGCUUAUCAGCUUGUUGGUGGGGUAGUGGCUUACCAAGGCUUUGACGGGUAGCCGGCCUGAGAGGGUGACCGGCCACAUUGGGACUGAGAUACGGCCCAGACUCCUACGGGAGGCAGCAGUGGGGAAUAUUGCACAGUGGGCGGAAGCCUGAUGCAGCAACUCCGCGUGCGGGAUGACGGCCUUCGGGUUGUAAACCGCUUUCGCCUGUGACGAAGCGUGAGUGACGGUAAUGGGUAAAGAAGCACCGGCUAACUACGUG